rnacentral:lncRNA from 1 species
CCCCAGUCUUCCCCUUCCUCCUUCUUCCUCUCCCUCCCUAACCCCGCACCUUCGGACCUCCUCCUCCCCUCCACCCCCGGCUGCCUGCCGGAGCCCCCACGCCGGAGUGAGUGGGAAGCCCCACCGCCAACAAGUCUGGCCUCUGGCUAGAGAAGGGGCGGGCGAGCGCAGCCGCAGACGGCGCGCGUCCUGCAGAGAGAGAGAGAGGAGAGAGCGAACUGAGGUUGUACUUCAUGCAGAGUAGUAGAAGAAAAGAGGACAGUACCCCAUCGCUAAGAGCAUCCUAUGGGCAAACAAAUCCAGAGAGAUUGAGGAACCAACUUCAUAUUCCCCUUCUGAACAAAGACGAAAUUUCAUUUGCACCUGUGAAACUGGGGAGCCUAGUGAUCACCAGUGCUUCCGUAAAGCACCGUCCCAGCUCUGCAGAGGUGGGCUAAGGUAGCAGCAGCUCAUAGGACCAGAAUUCUCUUUCAAAAUAAUUUUAGAUCCACACUUAACUUACAGAUAAAAGGACACUUGAAGCCCUGAGGUCUACAACUCUAGAAAAUCAUGACUAUAAUAAUUCUCGUAUGGCCUAGAAAAUUUAAAACCAG